AUACGGAGGGUGCGAGCGUUAAUCGGAAUUACUGGGCGUAAAGCGCGCGUAGGCGGUUCGAUAAGUCUGAUGUGAAAGCCCUGGGCUUAACCUGGGAAUGGCAUUGGAUACUGUUGAACUAGAGUGCGGGAGAGGAGAGUGGAAUUCUCGGUGUAGCGGUGAAAUGCGUAGAUAUCGGGAGGAACACCAGUGGCGAAGGCGGCUCUCUGGACUGACACUGACGCUGAGGUGCGAAAGCGCGGGUAGCAAACAGGAUUAGAAACCCCAGUAGUCC
rnacentral:rRNA from 1 species